rnacentral:lncRNA from 1 species
UUUUAGUUUUUUUUCUUUUGGUUUUUGAAUAUUUGAGAAUUUGUAGAGGUGGAAUUAGUUAAAACGGAGUUGUGUGGGAGCCACGAGCUCAAGGGGGCAUGCCCUGUGAGCUCGUGUCUCUCCCGUACAUCUUUUAGCCUCCUCCUGAACCUUCUAGGGUCCCUUCUGGUCCAGAAAAAUGACCGUAAAGUUUGAUUGUGUUUGGAUGUAGUUUGGUAGUGAUAUUCUGAAAAGUAAAAAAAGAAAAAAUAGGAACUGGG